rnacentral:lncRNA from 1 species
AUACUUAUAAGUUAUAACUGGAGUUAAGAAUCAUCAAUCUAACCUGUUAGACAGUUAGAGAGAUCUCAAGUUGCUAGUUUGACCAAAAACACCUAGUCUUUUAAUUUUGCUACCAAGGACUUGUUAGAUAAUACCUCACAUGUUACUAAAUAUGAACCACAGCUAUUCUCGCAUGCAUGGUUGCACAACUAUCUCAUAUUGCUAAUUUUCCCAAAUCACCAUGUGUACUAUUUUUACUUCAAGUGAGCCUUCCACCUAGACAGUUCCACCAGGUUCGUCGAUUGCUAUCAGUUUUCUAUUUGAUUAUCUUCAACAUGCCAUUCUUCUUCUCUUGACUAUCACAAGCUUGUUUGGAAGAGUUGUUACUUCAUCCCCAUCGCCUCUUGACUUAAGUGCAACUUGACAAGAUCCAUCAUAUAUGCUUAAAUUAUUUUGAUAACAUCUCUAAGAAUUUUCCGGCUUAUGAGGAAAACCAUCCAUGCCGAGGAUAGAACAAAACUCAUACAUGUGAAAUUUGAGGGAAAUGAUUAUUAUUUUGGGUUUUUAAGUUAUUGUAUGUGACACAAAGAUCUUUCUUACAUUAUGUUAAAAUAACUUAAAUAUUAUGUGUAUAGUUCUUAAAGUAAUUUAUUUUAGUUUGAUGUACAACAAUUUUCUCCUAACUCAUAAAUUCUUAUGUAAUUUGUACUGACAGAUCCAGUUGUCCCGAUCUUGUUCAGUGGCUUCCAGUAACAUAUUAAAUUUACUGACUGACGCAACAUGUGCUCGGAUGAGUUGUCGUAUUAAACCAAACCAACUAUUCAUUCCCUUCUUAUAAAAGGAAGAUAGUGUGAAUACUUCUACAAAUUGAUCAUACAGAGAUUCCAAAAGAACCAAGUGUGAGUUUUAAGAUUUAUGUGAUCAUACUGACAAAAGAUAGAUGCGAAUUUUUAGAUGUGAGAGGCAUGGGGAACAUAGUGAUCACUACACUAAAAUCUAUUUUCCGGUUUUGCGUGCUCAUUUGCUAAAUAUGUUUGUAAGUCGGCAUGCAUCACACUGCAAAGGCACAUAGCAAUGUCUUCGUUGUGUUAAGUUUAGACUUUAACCAUCGUGUGUAGACGGAAUGCUGCGCUGAAGAGUAGUGUGCAAUGACCUAUAAACCACCGCCUCGCCUCUGGGUUUUUUCUUUUUUUGAGAGAGCCUCGCCUCUGGGUGCUAGUCGAUCGUGGUCAACGAAGAAGGUAGGCAGUGUGGGCUGGAUGGGACAUUGACUAGGUUAAGUGGACCGACCCCUUCUUCCCCUCAACUUACUUUCCUUGUGAUGAUUCUCAGUUUAUGUAUCUAAAAAAGGGUCACUCUCUCCAUGUAACGUGCAUACUGAAUAAUUGUCCUUAUUUUGCACACUGGGUUACUAUUCCUGGUGGAAUCAAUUUUUGUGCAGGUUAUUUUCCAUGAUGGCUUAUUUCACAGUGGCCUUCGUUUCUUUAGUUUAUGCGAUUUUCUUGUCUUGGUUGGUGUCUUCUCCUUUUCUCUUUACUGGCAUGUUCAGCGGCAACAGUUGAUUUAGUCAUUUCCAUUCAUUAUGCUAACAGUGCAUCGAAGCAGAGUGACAAGUGACGAUGGAACUUGGAACCCAAGUCUUAAUCCAUUGGAUCAGCAUUCAAAUCAUGCAUCACGGCCAUCUUUUACAAUAGCUACAGAAAUAAAGUCCUAUGGAAAAGGCACAAAUACUCAAGGAAAAGCAUUCGUGUUAUGCAAUAACUUAGCAGAGAAUCAUGCCUUAGAAGAAUAUAUGAAAAUAAAUACACUAGGAACACAUCAAUGUGAAAUUUGGAGGGGGAUAUAAUUAUUUGUGGUUUUGAGCUUAGAGGCUUCUUUUACAAUAAGUUACUGCAAGUUUUCCGCUGGAGGCGUGGAUCCUAUUGGACGGUACCCUAACUCAGCUCACUUACAUAAAACUGCUUCCAUCAACUGUGCCUGCACUGCCACGGGUUCUGGAGCUUGUAUUGAGAACAAGCGAGAGAAUGGAAACCAAUGUCGCAUCGGGCAGACUUGAAAGAGAUUCUCCAGGUUUUAUUAGAGCAGACCAUACGAGCAAAUCCCAAUCCCAAAAGUUUAAAUAUGAAUACAAAGUGCAGAAAGAUAAACCGGGAUGAUGUGUCAUGUCAGGAUUAGAAAGAUCAAGCAUUCCCGAGUAUAUCUCAGGGCAGGCAUCUGGAAAUCUACAUCACAUAAUUCACAUGAUACCGAACAAGUGGGAUUAAGAACAAUCAAUCUGACCGGUUAGAGUGAUCUAAAAUUGCUAAGUUGACCAAAAACACGUAUUUUUCUUUCUAAUUUUGCGGCCUAGGACAGUUAAGAUAACACCUAACAGGUGAACCAGCUAUCUCAAGUUGCUAGUUUGCCCAAAAUCACCAGGUCUACUAUUUUCAUGUCAAGCGGGUUUUCCACCCGGACAAUCCCAUCAGACCCGUCGACUCCUACCAGUCUUCCUAUAACUCCACGCAUGCUGCCAUUCAUUAUCUUGACCCUGUCGCUCUUCUUCGGCCUGAUGAUCUCGAGCUCGUCUGGAAGAGCUGUUACUUCAUCCCCACUCCCUGAUGGCCCAAGUGCGACACGGCAAGAUCCAUCCUGCAAGUUCAGACUCCCGGAGAUGUUAACACCGCAAAAAAAAAAAAACAGCACCAAAGAAACAUGUGGAGAAACAACUUCUGCAUGCACUUGUAACAACCAUAAAUGAACAUGACAUACCAGGAGUACUUCCUUCACCACACCAUUGGUGGAACCAUCUCCUCUGGACACAUUGACGCAAACAUCUGGCAAGAGCCAAUUACUGCCGCCCUCAUCCCCUGAAAGCAUUUUGGCAAAAGGUAUUCACAGAUGUGCACACAAAGUGCUGGUUUCAAUCCCAUCCCGGUUGUAGAUGAAAGGGCAAGGGCAAACCUAUCAUUGGAGACAUUGCACCCAUUCCAGCAUUCCCUGGGGUCAUUAGCUGGCCACCAGGGGUUCCAGGCAAAUAAGAGGCAGGAAUUGGGGUCAUUGGUUGAGCACUAGGUGUUGGAGCGUUGAAUGGAGCAUCACCAAAGCCAGUUCCAGAGGUACUUUCCCACCCUGAUCCAGGAGUGGGGGCAUCAAAUGGCCUAGCUACUGGAGUUCCUGGCUGUGUGUAGAAACAGCAAUACAUUUCGGUAGCCAACACAAGGAUAAACAAUUUUCAAAGUUAACAAGAAGCACAUGGAACCUGGUAAGCUGGACUGCUCCCCCAAGCGCCCCAAGUGCCACGAUUUCCAUCUUCCUGGUUAUCCCUGAUCAUAUAAUUAGAACACAAUCAGCAACCAAACAGACCAUCAAGAUUAACUCCAGUAAAGUUUCAACACUCCACUUCGCAACAGACAAGGUUGAAAUAGUUUCACUAUGGGGCAGGAUAAACAAAACAUCUGAAGCUGCUUUAUUCUAAAUUUCAGGAUUUCAAUUCUGCAAGCCCAAGUAACCAAUUUGUUCUCCAAAGAAGUAUACCAACCUCGGUGGACUCAUUGGUGCCCAGGCUUGAUUAUGCAUAGGAGUUUGCGAUCCAUCACAAAUUGGUGUCGCUGCGCAAAUUCAAUUAACUUGUUACCAUGGAAAAGGGGAAUAAGAAACAGUACAUGGUACAAUGAAAUGAAUGGCACCGAAAUAGGCAAUAUGAUAGGCAUCUGAACAGGAGAGGGCGAAAAUGAACAAAUAGCACCAAAAUGAUUUGCAGAUCAAAUGGGUGAAUGACGCAAGAGAGCCAAAGCGGCAAUAUAAUGACUAUUCAACUUCAAGUACAGAGAACACAAGAAUUAUUUUGAUGUAGGUGCAACUAUAGUAAUUCCCUCCUUUUCUAAAUGUAUGGCAUUUCAAAUUCACGGAAAUUAGAAGUCACUGUAGAUAGUGUGUAAUACAAUACUAUAAUAAAACGUCUUAGCAACAUAUGUGAUAGAAAUUAGUAGUCAAAGUUGCAUGUUGUUGAAUGCUCACUACACCUAUGUCCAGAACGGUCGUAAGUGCAUCUUGUACAAAGAAAAAGUGAUCUAGGUAAUCUCAAAUUGAACCAUAACAAAGAAUGUAAGCAAGCACACCUCCAGGUUCUCGCAUUGGAGUUUGAAUAGGAUACAAUGGCGUUCGAGAUGGGUGCAUAGGUGUUUCACUGCCCAAUGAAUAACGAGAUUCACUGCCAAUACAACUGGUCAGCAAAUGAGAAAAUGGUACCAAACAGCUUGUUAAAUAUGGUUGAUCAAAAAGAAAUUUACCGGAAUGGUGUCCCAACAUUCGCUGUGUCAGCAAUAUCCUCUCUCUUAACUAUAUGUUUGCAGCAAGGUUAGUCGUCAACAGUAGACAGGCAACAACAAUUGUGACAAAAAUUAUUCACCUGUGACAAUCUUCAUAAGUGAAUCAAGCUCCACACGCACGAGUGCACCAUUCACUUCUUUAACACGGCCACGAUAUCCUUUGUAGGGACCAGAUUUAAUUUUGAUGCAUCUACUCACCAAGGCAUCAUGCCCUCUGCCACCACGACCACCUCCUCCAAACCUUCCACCAGCUGUUUUAGAUAGGAGGGGAGUGAAUUAUUACAUCAGCAUAAAGUAGUGUAAGAAAUAGACUUCGCACAAGAUGCAGCUGACUAAAACUAAUGGCAGAGAUAAGGAGCAUCCAAACUAUCAAUAUUCGUACAAUUCAUGUAAGGUCCUCUCGGCGGAAGCCCUCCAGGAGAUUGCAAGAUCCUUGCUGGAGAUCUAAAAGCACCAAGCCGUGGAUCUGCUGUAUCAACACCCUGAAAAAACAAGUAAACUGAAGAUAUGAUGGCAUGUUCUAGGUACCAAUAAAAUUUAAUUGAGAUAAUCAAAGCACAGACCAUCCUGCUGCUGUUGACAACCGAUCCCCCAACAAGGACACAAGAUUGUGCUUUUGCACAGAUAAAGCCUGAAUGUUCAAGGUGGUGGCGGUCAUGUAUAAAACAUAUCCCUUUGUGUAUAUGUUCCACAGGUCCUUGCUUUCCCUAAUGUGAACAGAAAAAUAAAUGUUUGUUAGCCUGUGAUAAGAAGAUUAAAUUGAGACAACAGAAUAAAUAGACAUUGUGAGAGAAAUAAUCAAAACACGAGAUAACAGGCAAAAUGUACACACCUUGCAUGGCCCCUCAAUGACCCUGACAAUAUCCUUAGUGGACACCGUGUUAUUCCUGCUAUCUUUUGCAGAUGUGCGCCGAUCGAUUUUGUAUUUUAUUUCUCUCAGUUUCACAAGCACCACUUCAGGUUUAUCAGGCACUCCUUUGAGAACCUAAUUAUACAAAAGGGUCAAUACAUAUAACUAUACGUACAAGACAAUCAGACAGAUGAAUAUUUAGACAGUUCUGCUUGCCUGAAAUGCUUCGCUUUCCACCCUUACAAUCACACCAAAUGAUAAAUUGCUGAAAAGGGAAGAAAUGGUAUAAGUUGUUUCGUAGCCGUUAGACAUGAUGGGUAGCAACCUCACUAAAAAUUCUGGGCUUACUCAAGAAGGACAAGAUCAUGCAAUUCAUAAUCACCAAUUCUGGUAAGCCCCGUCGUGACCUCAGAACUCUCCACAACAUGAUCUGCAAACACACGGAUCUGCAGUCACAAAAAAGAGUUAAACAUACUACAAAAUAUGUUUAAACAAAGCAAUUUCCAAUAGAUGCACAGGUGUACCAACAAUUGCUCACAUGUUCUUUGCUUGUGUCAGAUAAAAUAGUCAAGACAUGUCCUUCCACUUUAACUACCAUGCCUGUCACACCUUCUUGAACACCAAAAACCACUUUUACAUGGUCCCCGGGAUUGAAAUAUUUGCAGAGAUCUUUCUCACUGAAGGCAAGUGUUUUCUGCAUGGUACAAAGAGAUGUUUAAAUUUUCUAGUCCAGUUGAUAGUAGUAUAAUAAAUUCACUACAAGUAAUUACCGGAAGAUCAGAUUGUGUCGGUGUUGGUCGGAUGUGAACAAUAGAAUCCUCUACUUUCUCCACACAGCCCCUUAUGUCCUUGAGAUCACCUUUAACAACAACUACAGCAUCGCUUUUCAUAAAAUGUCCCUUCUUCCUGCUGAGUGUGGACAAUCUAGCCACAUCUUCAUUCACGUCAUCACCAACUCUCCCGAAUUUCUCCAAUUCAUCAAGUGAUGGCAUAACAUUCUGUGUGCUGAUUGAUUUUAUCGAGACUAUUUUGCGCAAGAAACCAUCUUCAAAUUUUAAAGCGCCAACCAUCUCAAAGUAUUCCCCAGAAUCUCUAUCUCUCCUCCGUUCUACAGGAAUGUUCAUCUCCCUGUGUUCAUUUAAGUUAGAAAAAAGAGGAGACAAGAUACAUAAAUAAAUAAAACUGAACUAUCAUUUGAUAGCGAAAGGAUGAAAAGCAUUAAGCACCUCGCCUCGUCGGUACUAAAUAACCUUGGCGGUGGAAUAAACGACUUCUUCUUUGCAACCUUAAGACCUUUCUGACAAUACAAAAGUCAUAUCAUGCUAAGUCAUCCAGCAAGCAAGCACAAUACGAAGUAUAAACACGCAUUCUACCAAGAAGAUAGAUUGAUAAUUAAGAAGUCCUUCAAUAAGUUAAAAUCUACUAAUUCCAUUUUUGGACACAGCAGUGCAUGGAACUUGUGAAUCAUAUGGGAAAGAGAACCCAAACUUGAAGUACUAUGUUCACAGCGGAUGCAAGACGAUAUAUAAAACGGCAUGUCAAUGAGCUCAACCCACUGAUAGAAGUGUAUGUUACGUUGAAAGGUGACAGGUAGAAAAUCACGAUGAAUGGCAACUAGCAUAACUUACCAAUUUAUCUGUCAAAGCUUGUAAAUCUAAUCUAGGAAUGACCUUCACAGUAACCUUUUGGCGCACAUCAUCAACUUCGACAACCUGGGGGUAAUCAAAAUAAAUAACUGGGCAAUUGACAAAUAUAUACUAGCAACAGCCAGGGAAACAAUGAUGACCAUACCUUAGCAAGAUCCCCUUUAUAUAUACCAAGCUUCAACCUGACCCAUGUAUCUAUUGAAAGAUCAGCAGACUUACUCGUGACAGAGAGAACAUCAGUCAUUUCUUUUGUAGGAACCAGAAGUAUUUUUGCUGAAGAAAAGAUGUUCCGCAGACCUUUGCAAGCCUGCAAUGAAGUUUAGUUAACAUCCCUUAUCAAGAAGACUAGAAUGUCAAUUUACGCACUGGUUACCUCCUUGACAUGGGCUUCUUUCUCUGCUUCAACAUAAAUGUAAUUCUUUAGGUGUUCCAAUGCAACGACGGACUUAAUCUGGAGAUCUUGCCUAUCAAUGAACUUUUGCAUUAGACAAAGGGCUGUCUCUCGCUCAUGUCCAAUCUGACGUCAUAAUUAGAAGAACAAUGAGAUUCAAAUGGUACAAUGAACAAAUAGCAGAGCUGUGGCAAGAGCUUAAUUUUCCUAGAACUUGCAACCUACCGCACAUUUCACCAUCCAGAGCUUUGGAUCAUUCACUGAUGGCAGGAGAGCUUGCUGUUCAACCUCGGUUAGACCCUCUUCAUCAAAAUCAGAGUGUGAUUGCGUUCUAUAUUUCCAUUUUAACAUCUCUUCCAAGUUCUCCAUAUCAUCUGCAUCAUCCAUUGGAUUUGGAUUGAAAUGACGUCUAGAACCCCUUUGCACAUCCUCGUCAGGAUUAUCAGCCCGAGCAUCAUCAUCAAUAAAACCUGCCGAAAAGCAAAGGAGUGUAAGUCACGCAUUAUCACAAAUAGUCUUGCUUUUGCAUACUACACAACUCAACCCACAGAUAGGCAAGCACAGAAAUUUUUUAAUUCGAAAGGGAAAGUAAAAAUGUUAUACUUGAAUGGCAGAAAUAAACAUCCAUGUGAACAUAACUCAGGACCAAUGGCAAGAGUACAUCCAUAAAGAAACUGCAGUUGAUGAUCGACUAAACAUCAAAUUCCACACCAUCUAAUCUUAAGAAACAUAAUGGUUACAUUGAGCUUGAAGUAACAAGACUAUAUCAAAAAAAUUACAUAAAAGUGCCAUCUGGGCAUCGAAACCAAAACUCUUGAUCAUAUAAAGGUCCCUAGUAAUUUCUGGAGGAUAUGAUUCUGUCCAUCAUCAUGACUACAAUGCUGGUUUGGAAAGAGCCAGACAGUUGAUUGUAACGACAAUUUCCCAGGUAUAUACUGGGUAGGUCUAGCCAUAACCCAUAAGUGGCAGGAAGUAAUAAGUUUUAAUGGAACAUGGACUUUGGUCCUUCACUCCACACGACCUCCCAUUUAUGGCCAAAUUACGAAAUUAACACAGUUCGCACUAAAUUGCACUGAUGGUUCACAACAGGAAAAUAAGAAGCAUUGCAUAAAACAUUGCCGCUGAUGGUUCACAUAUGGUUAUCAAGCCUAGCCAACACUGAAGCAACAAUAGAAUGUAAUUCAAGCCGGAUUGACCAACAAACAACCCAACUAAGCACCCUCAGCAUUUCUAACAGGGGCAACGAGUCCCAAAUGCAGGCAGGGAACUAGCAACGGCGAUCACAGAAAUCCUCGAUAGUGUAGAAAUGCUGCGGAACCAACGACUGGGAAGCAAAAAUCCUACACGAAAUCGUCACUAACCCCGGCGAAUUUGGAUACGGGAAACUAAACAUGAUAACGAUUCUGCUACCCCGGGUCCAGGCGCCGGCGUACGGCCGAUAGGGCAAGCGAGCACUCACCUUCCUCGUACCCGUCUUCCUCCUCCUCCUCGCCGUCGUCGUCGUCGACCUGCGCCAUGUCGUCGAUCAGGAUCGACCGCUUCCUCUUGCUGGGCCGGCGGCCGCGGCCGCGGCCGCCCUCCUCGUAGUCGUCGUCCUCGUCGUCGUCAUCCUCUUCCUCCUCCUCCUCCUCGUCGUCGUCCUCGCUGGCCGCGUCGUCGAUGAAGCUCGCGACGCCCGAGCCCUUCCCCCCGCCGCCGCGCAACCGCUUUUCGCCCCUCUCCUCCUCCACCUCCGACUCGUCGGCCUCCUCCUCCUCCUCUACCUCCUCGAACUCCUCCUCCUCCUCGCGGCCGCGGCGCGACAUUGCGGCGGCUAGGGUUUCGAGCGAGCCCUCCUCGCGGCUCGAGACGCGCUGCGGCUGGGAGGGUGGCCCCGCGUGGCAGGGCGGAACCCUCGAGAGGCGAUUGAGGCCUCGGCGGGGCUGGGGCUGGGGUGGGUGGGUGCGAGCAAGCGAGAGCGGGGAGCGCUUUCGAUUGCCGGCAAGGCGAGAGGGUAUUUAGCGGCGAAACCGACUUCUAGCGAGGAGGAACGCUGAGUUAAUUUUGGUUGGGUGGGCCGGGCAGGGCCGUACAUCGGCCGUGCGCGCGUAGGAAUUGGCUGCUUUAAUUCGGCCGGGCUCCUGCAAUUUAUUCGGGCACCCUAUGUCUCGCUUAUAGCGAGACCUACGGGACUUACAGCUUGAGAUGGGCCGGCCCAUGUGCGCUGAAGGAGGGUUUUUUCCGUCUUGAUAUAAGUGAGAUAUAGUCCCCGUGCAAUUUAUUCUGCUUCCGGAUCAUUCCUCAAACAGCCAUUAGCUUGAGUGCUCCUGGCCCGUCCCCCAGACGGCCCACCUCACCCCGAUAUGUACAUCUCGGCCAACCCUCUUUUUACAGUUGCUAUCUCGGCCUACCUUUUUCUAGAGCUCAGCAUCUUGGUACAUAUGUCAUGUGGGGAUGAUGGAUAUGUCGUUCCGUUGCAAAAAGAAAAAGAAAAAAAUGUUGUCACUCCGGGAUUUUUGUGUGCACUGAGCAGCGACACCUUCUUUUGGAAUACUAUCUACCGCCUCCAUCCAAUAACUAGAUCGGGAGCGCGCCUUGGCGCGAGGGUGCCGGUCCUAACGUUUUGAUGAAGCAAAUAGUGCUAAGUUAGUAGGAAUCUGGGUUUACCAUAUGAAUUCAAACAUGGUAUAACAAAAUAAAGUGAAAAGAAACAUUCAUUUGUGAGAAGAAAGACAUAAUGGAGUUCAAUAUCGGCAUGGGAUUAUAAGGCAACAUCGAGUUGAGCAUAUUCAUAAGACCAUAAAAGAUAACUACUCGUCAUUAAGUACGAUACCAAAAGAUUAGUAUGGGAGAGGAAGUAAUAAAAGUAGGAACAUAACGCAGAACCCUCUCCUCCACCUCCGACUCGUCGGCCUCCUCCUCCUCCUCGCUGCCGCGGCGAGACAUUGCGGCGGCUAGGGUUUCGAGCGAGCCCUCCCCGGGGCUCGAGAUGCUCUGUGGCUGGGAGGGUGGCCCCGCAUGGUAGGGAGGAACCCUCGAGAGUCAACGCGAGAGCCGAUUGAGGCUUCGGCGGGGCGGGGGUUGGGGUGGGUGGUGCGAGCAAGCGAGAGCCGGGAGCGUUUUCCGUUGCCGGUAAGGCGAUAGGGUAUUUGGAAAUUCCUAUUUGCCGCAUUUUGCGGCAAACAAUCAACCAAUCGCACACCUGCUGACACCAGAUCGAUAGAAUGGGCAGGCCCAGCUGAGGGUGUGAGCAGAUGGUUUUGUGAACUUUCUGGAAGGUUCCUGACUAGUUUUGGGAACCUUCUAGAAGGUUCCUAAACCGUUUUUUCUUUCUUUUUGCGUUUUCACAAUUUUGUUUUUAUUUCUCGUUAUUUCCGUUUUUAUCUAUUUAUUUAUCUUUUCUUUUCUUUUUCUCUUUUUCACUUUUCUUUACUGUAUCUUCUUUCUUUUCUUUUCUGAAAAUGUUCAAAAUAUUAAAUAAUUGUUCAAUUUUUAUAAACAAUAUUCAAAAGUUUCCAAAUUUGUUCAUGUUUUUAAAAAUCAUUCGUGUUUUCGUGAAAAAUGUUUGGAAUUUCUAAAUUUGUUCAAGUUUUCAAACAUGGUUCUGAGUUGCAAAUUUUGUUCAAGUCUUCAAACAUUGUUCUUAUUUUCAGAAAACAUUCAGAAUUUCCAAAAUUGUUCAGGUUUUCCAAAAAUGUGCUGAGUUUCAAAAUUUUAUUUAUGUUUUCAAAAAUUGUUCACUAUGUCAAAAUAUGCUUGGAAUAUCAAAAUUUGUUUAGGUUUUUCAAACAAUGUUCUGAUUUUCAAAUUAUUGUUCACGUUUUCAAAAAUUGUGCACAAUUUCAAAUGUCUGGAGUUUAAAAUUUUGUUCAUAUUUUCAAAAUUUGUUCAUCUUUUCCAAAAUAGUUUGAAAUGUUCAUGUUUGUUCUCAUUUUAAAAACUGAAAUUCAAAAUUUGUUCCAAUUUUUCAAAGAUUGUUCGUGUUUAAAAAAAAUAUUUUUGAAAAAUUGUUCAGAGAUUCAAAAGAUGUUCGCGUACUAGAAAAUGUUCAUAGAUUUCCAAAAUGUUCAUUUUUUCAAAUUUUGUUUGAAAUUUUGAAAAAAUGUGUCCAUUUUAAAAAAUUGUUCACAUAUUAGAGAAGUGUUCGAGAUUUGAAAAUUUCUUCAUGUUCUUUUUAGAAAUGGAAUGAAAAUGUUUAGAAUUCCAAAUUUUAUUUUCUUUUUCAAAACAAUAUUUGACAUUUAUUUAUUUAUUAAAAUCACGAAAUGAUCAAACAUUUUUGUAAAGAUUGUUUUAAAUGAGCCGCUUCGGUGAGAUCUUAAAAUGCUCGUGCUCUUUGUAUAUCAGAAACAACAAUCAGCUCCAGUGGCUAGUAGCACGCGUUGACGACUCACAUGCCGCGAGUUCGAUCCCUGUCGACUACUCGCUAAUUUCAUUUUUUGGCUUGGCUCUCCUUCGUUUCCUUUUAGUGGGCCGGCCCAGACACGGGGUCCUCUAUGCGUCUGCUCACUGUUGGACGCAAAGAGCGUCCAAUAGAAGCUCCUAUCAUGCUACAUGUGGCGAAACUGACUUAUAUCGAGGAGGAACGCUGAGUUAAUUUUUAUUGGGUGGGCCGGGCCGUACAUCGGCCGUGCACGCGUACGUUGUCUGAUUAAUUUGGUCAGGCUCGUACAAUUUAUUCGGGCGCCCUAUGUCUCGCUUAGAGCGACACCUACGGAACCCUUGCAUCAAGGCAGCUCGAGAUGGCCCAGCCCAGGUGUGCUGGAGUCCACAUCCUCGGUUUUUUUCAUCUUUUGUUUUAUUUUAUUACAAAUAUAUAUUUGACAUAAUGUUUUGAAAAGUGGUAAAUGUGAAUAUAAAAAAUGGCGAACAUGUACACGAAAAUGUAUACAAAAAAUAUGCUAUUUGUGAAAAAAAAUGUCCAUGUAUUUAAAAGAAUGUUAAUCAAGCUUUUGAGGAGGUGUCGUGUUGUAAUUUUCCUAACCUAGCAGGCGCCACGAGCCACAUGACUAGGGAGGCGAUCUUCUUCCACUGAUCUCAGUCGGCCACGGCGCUAACCCCUCUCCCUCUGGCUGCUGCUCCAGCGGCAGGAGGGAGGGAGACCCCGUUCCUUCGUUUUGCAAUUAGGGUUUGGAUUUGUAGGUCGUGGUGCGUCGUUGGGGUGGUGGGAGCAGCGCCCAAACGAAUAAAUAUGCCUUAGCUCCACUCCCACAUAGCGAUGCCCUUCAUGGCGGUGUCUCGGAGUUGAUGGCAUCGUGUGUUUACCAAUCCUUCAGAUCAGCAGCGUUAGGGUUCCCAUAUGGUGUCUACAUGGAGGCGAUGGUGAAUCUAUCGGGAAAUAUGCCAUAGAGGCAAUAAUAAAAUGAUUAUUAUUAUAUCUCCUUGUUCAUGAUAAUUGUCUAUUGUUCAUGCUAUAAUUGUGUUAUCCGGAAAUCGCAAUACAUGUGUGAAUAUAUAGACCACAACACGUCCCUAGUGAGCCUCUAGUUGACUAGCUCGUUGAUCAACAGAUAGUCAUGGUUUCCUGACUAUGGACAUUGGAUGUCAUUGAUAACGGGAUCACAUCAUUAGGAGAAUGAUGUGAUGGACAAGACCCAAUCCUAAGCGUAUCACAAGAUCGUGUAGUUCGUUUUGCUAGAGCUUUUCUAAAUGUCAAGUAUCAUUUUCUUAGACCAUGAGAUUGUGCAACUCCCAGAUAACGUAGGAGUGCUUUGGGUGUGCCAAACAUCACAACGUAACUGGUGACUAUAAAGGUGCACUACGGGUAUCUCCGAAAGUGUUUGUUGGGUUGGCACGAAUCAAGACUGGGAUUUGUCACUCCAUAUGACGAAGAGGUAUCUUUGGGCCCACUCGGUAAUGCAUCAUCAUAAUGAGCUCAAUGUGACCAAGUGUCUGGUCACGGGAUCAUGCAUUACGGUACGAGUAAAGUGACUUGCCGGUAACGAGAUUAAACGAGGUAUUGGGAUACCGAUGAUCGAAUCUCGGGCAAGUAACGUACCGAUUGACAAAGGUAAUUGUAUACGGGAUUGAUUGAAUCCUCGAUAUCAUGGUUCAUCCGAUGAGAUCAUCGAGGAGCAUGUGGGAGCCAACAUGCGUAUCUAGAUCCCGCUGUUGGUUAUUGACCGGAGAGUCGUCUCGGUCAUGUCUUCAUGUCUCCCGAACCCGUAGGGUCUACACACUUAAGGUUCGGUGAUGCUAGGGUUGUUGAGAUAUUAGUAUGCGGUAACCCGAAAGUUGUUCGGAGUCAGGAUGAGAUCCCGGACGUCACGAGGAGUUACGGAAUGGUUCGGAGGUGAAUAUUUAUAUAUAGGAAAUCCAGUUUCGGCCAUCGGGAAAGUUUUGGGGGUCACCGGUAUUGUACCGGGACCACCGGAAGGGUCCUGGGGGUCCACCGGGUGGGGCCACCUAUCCCGGAGGGCCCCAUGGGCUGAAGUGGGAGGGGAACCAGCCCCUGGUGGGCUGGUGCGCCCCCCUCCCCCUGGCCCCCCCUGCGCCUAGGGUUGGAAACCCUAGGGGUGGGGGGGCGCCCAACUUGGCUUGGGGGGCAAGCCACCCCCCCUUGCCCCCCCCCCCAUCUAGAUGGGAUAUAGAGGGGCCGGCGCCCCUCCUGGACCCCUAUAUAAAGAGGGGGGAGGAAGGGCUGCGCACCCAGCCCCUGGCGCCUCCCGUGACACCUCUCCCUCUCGCUGUGCUUGGCGAAGCCCUGCUGAGAUCGCUGCUGCAUCCACCACCACGCCGUCGUGCUGCUGGAUCUCCAUCAACCUCUCCUUCCCCCUUGUUGGAUCAAGAAGGAGGAGACGUCUUCCCAACCGUACGUGUGUUGAACGCGGAGGUGCCGUCCGUUCGGCGCUAGGAUCUCCGGUGAUUUGGAUCACGACGAGUACGACUCCCUCAACCCCGUUCUCUUGAACACUUCCGCGUGCGAUCUACAAGGGUAUGUAGAUGCACUCCUCUCUCUCGUUGCUAGAUAACUCCAUGGAUUGAUCUUGGUGAAGCGUAGAAAAAUUUUAUUUUUUGCGACGUUCCCCAACAGUGGCAUCAUGAGCUAGGUCUAUGCGUAGUUUCUAUGCACGAGUAGAACACAAACUUGUUGUGGGCGUAGAUGUUGUUAAUUUUCUUGCCACUACUAGUCUUAUCUUGCUUCGGCGGCAUCGUGGGAUGAAGCGGCCCGGACCGACUUUACACGUACACUUACGUGAGACAGGCUCCACCGACUGACAUGCACUAGUUGCAUAAGGUGGCUAGCGGGUGUCUGUCUCUCCCACUUUAGUUGGAGCGGAUUCGAUGAAAAGGGUCCUUAUGAAGGGUAAAUAGAAAUUGGCAUAUCACGUUGUGGUUUUACGUAGGUAAGAAACGUUCUUGCUAGAAACCUAUAGAAGCCACGUAAAAACAUGCAACAACAAUUAGAGGACGUCUAACUUGUUUUUGCAGCAUUUGCCUUUGUGAUGUGAUAUGGCCAAAAGUUUGUGAUGAAUGAUAUAUAUGUGAUGUAUGAGAUCAUGUUCUUGUAAUAGGAAUCACGACUUGCAUGUCGAUGAGUAUGACAACCGGCAUAAGCCAUAGGAGUUGUCUUAAUUAUUGUAUGACCUGCAUGUCAAUGAAUAAACACCAUGUAAUUCCUUUUCUUUAUUACUAAAUUGUUAGCCAUAGUAGUAGAAGUAAUAGUUGGCGAACAACUUCAUGGAGACACGAUGAUGGAGAUCAUGAUGAUGGAGAUCAUGGUGUCUUGCCGGUGAGAAGAUGAUCAUGGCGCCCCGAAGAUGGAGAUCAAAGGAGCAAUAUGAUAUUGGCCAUAUCAUGUCACUAUUUGAUUGUAUGUGAUGUUUAUCAUGUUUUACAUCUUAUUUGCUUAGAACGACGGUAGCUUAAAUAAGAUGAUCCCUUGCAAUAAUUUCAAGAAAGUGUUCCCCCUAACUGUGCACCGUUGCGAAGGUUCGUUGUUUCGAAGCACCACGUGAUGAUCGGGUGUGAUAGAUCCUAACGUUCGAAUACAACGGAUGUAAGCCAGAUUUACACACGCAAUACACUUAGGUUGACUUGACGAGCCUAGCAUGUACAGACAUGGCCUCGGAACACGGAAGACCGAAAGGUCGAGCAUGAAUCAUAUAGAAGAUAUGAUCAACAUGAAGAUGUUCACCGAUGUCGAUUAGUCCAUCUCACGUGAUGAUCGGACACGGCCUAGUUGACUCGGAUCAUGUUUCACUUAGAUGACUAGAGGGAUGUCUGUCUGAGUGGGAGUUCAUUGAAUAAUUUGAUUAGAUGAACUUAAUUAUCAUGAACUUAGUCUAAAAUCUUUACAAUAUGUCUUGUAGAUCAAAUGGCCCAUGCUAAUGUUGCCCUCAACUUCAACGCGUUCCUAGAGAAAACCAAGCCGAAAGAUGAUGGCAGCAACUAUACGGACUGGGUCCGGAACCUGAGGAUCAUCCUCAUAGCUGCAAAGAAAGAUUAUGUCUUAGAAGCACCGCUAGGUGAAGCACCCAUCCCAGAGAACCAAGACGUUAUGAACGCUUGGCAGUCUCGUGCUGAUGAUUACUCCCUCAUUCAGUGUGGCAUGCUUUCAGGGGCGGACCCAGGACAAAAAUGACUCGGGGUCCCAAGUCUAUCACAUAUUCGUGGAUAUCAAGUCAUAAUACACAUAAAAUUAGCACACUUAGCAAUACAAUAUACAUAGAAUCCUAUAUGACCAUGAAUAUGAUUACCAAAAUUCCAAAAUAAAGAGUUCACCUUAUCAAUAUUUUUUGAUCAUAGGAAAUUGAACAGUAAAGGUGAAUCGAAGUGUCCAAAUUAUGAAUAAAGUAUAACCGAUGAUGAGAAAAUGCAUCGCUAGAUCUUAAUUGCCUACAAAUCAAAAGUAACAAAACUACUUAGCAACAUAUCUCUAUGAUUUGGAUGGUACUCAUCUAGGCUUCUUCUUUUACCUAGAUCAAAUUUACUUCUUCCCAAUUGAUCUCUUCUUCAACUUGAAAUGAAUUCCUUGUAUUAUUGGCAGAACUAGGUUCAUGUGUGAAGGCAUUAUUCUGUCCAGGUGGUGAUGGAGGGGCUGGGACAUCAAUCCGUUCGUGUGGUGAGGCAUCAUUUUGUCCGCCCAACUGUGGCAGGACCGAUGCAUCAUUCUGGUUAUGUUCAUGAUAGGGCUCUGUUGGGUGUGGAUGCUUGUUUCUUGUUGGUUAGUUGGUGGCUUUAUUAAUAUAAAGUUGGGCCUUUGGCCUUUUAUCCAAUAUAACAAGAUAUUAUGUUCAUGUGACGGGCAUUCAUCUUACACUAUCCGCUUCUCUUUUUUCAGUAAACUGAGCUUCUCUAAUUUGUAAUUGUUUAGAUAAUUAUAUUUUCUGCAAAUGAGUAAACUAUGAAUCAUGUGUACAUACAUAACAUGAAUUGCAACUGCACGACAGUAAAAUAUAACUUACUUGACAUGUUGCCGGUGCUUCCAGCCGUCCUUGUCUACUAGAGUAUUGCAAUAUUGUUCUCCACUGACCACUACAAUAGCCAAAUAGUCCAAUAGCCAAUAUAAUCAAAAUCUAUAAUCUUAACCAAUAGCCCUAAUUUCCUAGGGUUAGAGAAACAAAGCAAGAAUUGGAAUGGGAUUUGGAAAUUGCAAUAGAGGCAGACACACACCGAAUUGGGGUUUGAUCCAAGAUACCUAUUCUUUCGUUCUUCACUGAUUGGGCGAAUUGGGGCGAUCUGGCUGCCGCCGUCGGCUGCGAGCACGAUGUACAGGGGCACGGAGCGCAGCGGCGAGUAGAGGAAGGUGACAGGCACGUACGUAUCGAUGAAUUGAUCCAUUUGAUCGAUGGACGAAUGUGUUGGGCCUUUGCCAGGGCAUCACGCGCUGCUAGUCGGCUGGGCUGUCUACGGCCUUGUUGGCUAGUUGUGGCCGUUUGGUCUGCACGGGGUGUCCCUUUCAGAAAUUUAGGGGUGUCCAAGUCUACGUGGGCUCUAUAUAUAUAACGUAAGAUGAUUUUUUACCCGGUGUCAUGGGCUACCUGCUGGGCCAACAUGGGCCCGCCCCUGCAUGCUUUACAGCUUAGAACCGGGGCUCCAAAAGCGUUUUGAGCAACACGAAGCAUAUGAGAUGUUCGAAGAGCUGAAAAAUGGUUUUCCAAGCUCAUGCCCGGGUAGAGAGAUAUGAAGUCUCCGACAAGUUCUUCAGUUGUAAGAUGGAGGAAAAUAGUUCUGUCAGUGAGCACAUACUCAAAAUGUCUGGGUUGCACAACCGCUGACUCAGCUGGGAGUUAAUCUCCCGGAUGACGCGGUUAUUGACAGAAUCCUUCAGUCGCUUCCACCGAGCUACAAGAGCUUUGUGAUGAACUUCAAUAUGCAGGGGAUGGAAAAGACCAUUCCUGAGGUAUAUUCAAUGCUGAAAUCAGCGGAGGUAGAGAUCAAAAAGGACAUCAAGUGUUGAUGGUGAAUAAAACCACUAAGUUCAAGAAAGGCAAGGGUAAGAAGAACUUCAAGAAGGACGGCAAGGGAGUUGCCGCGCCCGGUAAGCCAGUUGCCGGGAAGACGCCAAAGAAUGGACCCAAGCCUGAGACUGAGUGCUUUUAUUGCAAGGGAAGUGGUCACUGGAAGCGGAACUGCCCCAAGUACUUAGCGGACAAGAAGGUCGGCAACACCAAAGGUAUAUGUGAUAUACAUGUUAUUGAUGUGUACCUUACCAGCACUCGUAGUAGCUCCUGGGUAUUUGAUACCGGUGCGGUUGCUCAUAUUUGUAACUCAAAGCAGGAGCUGUGGAAUAAGCGGAGACUAGCAAAGGACGAGGUGACGAUGCGCGUCGAGAAUGGUUCCAAGGUCGAUGUGAUCGCCGUCGGCACGCUACCUCUACAUUUACCUACGGGAUUAGUUUUAAACCUCAAUAAUUGUUAUUUAGUGCUAGCUUUGAGCAUGAACAUUGUAUCUGGAUCUCGUUUAAUACGAGAUGGCUACUCAUUUAAAUCCGAAUGGUUGUUCUAUUUAUAUGAGAGAUAUGUUUUAUGGUCAUGCCCCGCUAGUAAAUGGUUUAUUCUUAAUGAAUCUCGAACGUGAUGUUACACAUAUUCAUAGUGUGAAUACCAAAAGAUGUAAGGUUGAUAACGAUAGUCCCACAUACUUGUGGCACUGCCGCCUUGGUCACAUUGGUGUCAAGCGCAUGAAGAAGCUCCAUGCUGAUGGACUUUUAGAGUCUCUCGAUUAUGAAUCAUUUGACACAUGCGAAUCAUGCCUCAUGGGCAAAAUGACCAAGACUCCGUUCUCCGGAACAAUGGAGUGAGCAACCAACUUAUUGGAAAUCAUACAUACUGAUGUGUGCGGUCCAAUGAGCGUUGAGGCUCGCGGAGGAUAUCAUUAUGUUCUCACUCUCACUGACGACUUGAGUAGAUAUGGGUAUGUCUACUUGAUGAAACACAAGUUUGAGACCUUUGAAAAGUUCAAGGAAUUUCAGAAUGAGGUAGAGAAUCAACGUGACCGAAAGAUAAAGUUCUUACGAUCAGAUCGUGGAGGAGAAUAUUUAAGUCACGAAUUUGGUACGCACUUAAGGAAAUGUGGAAUCGUUUCACAACUCACGCCGCCUGGAACACCUCAGCAUAACAGUGUGUCUGAACGUCGUAAUCACACUUUAUUGGAUAUGGUGCGAUCUAUGAUGUCUCUUACCAAUUUACCGUUGUCAUUUUGGGGAUACGCUCUAGAGACAACUACAUUCACUUUAAAUAGGGCACCGUCUAAAUCAGUUGAGACGACACCGUAUGAAUUAUGGUUUGGGAAGAAACCUAAGCUGUCGUUUCUAAAAGUUUGGGGAUGCGAUGCUUAUGUCAAGAAACUUCAACCUGAAAAGCUCGAACCCAAGUCGGGAAAAUGCGUCUUCAUAGGAUACCCUAAGGAAACCAUUGGGUAUACCUUCUACCUCAGAUCCGAAGGCAAGAUCUUUGUUGCCAAGAAUGGGUCCUUUCUGGAGAAAGAGUUUCUCUCGAAAGAAGUAAGUGGGAGGAAAGUGGAACUUGAUGAAGUACUACCUCUUGAACCGGAAAGUAGCGCAGCUCAGGAAGAUGUUCCUGUGGUGCCUGCACCGACUAGAGAGGAAACCAAUGAUGAUGAUCAAGGUACUUCAGAUCAAGUUACUACUGAACUUCGUAGGUCCACGAGGACACGUUCCACACCAGAGUGGUACGGCAACCCUGUCCUGUAAAUCAUGUUGUUAGACAACGGUGAACCUUCGAACUAUGAAGAAGCGAUGGCGGGCCCAGAUUCCAACAAAUGGCUUGAAGCCAUGCAAUCCGAGAUAGGAUCCAUGUAUGAAAACGAAGUAUGGACUUUGACAGACUUGCCCGAUGAUCGGCGAGCGAUAGAAAACAAAUGGAUCUUUAAGAAGAAGACGGACACGGAUGGUAAUGUUACCAUCUAUAAAGCUCGACUAGUCGCUAAGGGUUAUCGACAAGUUCAAGGGGUUGACUACGAUGAGACAUUCUCUCCCGUAGCGAAGCUAAAAUUCGUCCGAAUCAUGUUAGCAAUUGUCGCAUACAAUGAUUAUGAGAUAUGGCAAAUGGACGUCAAAAUGGCAUUCCUUAACGGCUAUCUUAAGGAAGAACUGUAUAUGAUGCAACUGGAAGGUUUUGUCGAGCCUGAGAAGGCUAACAAGGUAUGCAAACUCCAGCGAUCCAUUUAUGGGCUGGUGCAAGCAUCUCGGAGUUGGAACAUUCGCUUUGAUGAGAUGAUCAAAGCGUUUGGGUUUAUGCAGACUUAUGGAGAAGUCUGCGUUUACAAGAAAGUGAGUGGGAACUCUGUAGCAGUUCUCAUAUUAUAUGUGGAUGACAUACUUUUGAUGGGAAAUGAUAUAGAACUUUUGGACAGCAUUAAGGCCUACUUGAAUAAGUGUUUUUCAAUGAAGGACCUUGGAGAAGCUGCUUACAUAUUAGGCAUCAAGAUCUAUAGGGAUAGAUCGAGACGCCUCAUAGGUCUUUCACAAAGCACAUACCUUGAUAAGAUAUUGAAGAAGUUCAAUAUGGAUCAGUCCAAGAAGGGGUUCUUGCCUGUGUUGCAAGGUGUGAAAUUAAGCUCAACUCAAUGCCCGACCACGGCAGAAGAUAGAGAAAAGAUGAGUGUCAUCCCCUAUGCCUCAGCUAUAGGGUCUAUUAUGUAUGCCAUGCUGUGUACUAGACCUGAUGUAAACCUUGCCGUAAGUUUGGUAGGAAGGUACCAAAGUAAUCCCGGCAUGGAACACUGGACAGCGGUCAAGAACAUCCUAAAGUACCUGAAAAGGACUAAGGAUAUGUUUCUCAUUUAUGGAGGUGACGAAGAGCUCGUCGUAAAGGGUUACGUCGACGCUAGCUUCGACAUAGAUAUAGAUGACUCUAAGUCACAAACCGGAUACGUGCAUAUUUUGAAUGGUGGGGCAGUAAGCUGGUGCAGUUGCAAGCAAAGCGUCGUGGCGGGAUCUACAUGUGAAGCAGAGUACAUGGCAGCCUCAGAGGCAGCGCAUGAAGCAAUCUGGAUGAAGGAGUUCAUCACCGACCUAGGAGUCAUACCCAAUGCGUCGGGGCCGAUCACACUCUUCUAUGGCAACACUAGAGCUAUUGCACUUGCCAAGGAGCCCAGGUUUCACAAGAAGACCAGGCACAUCAAGCGUCGCUUCAACUCCAUUCGUGAAAAUGUUCAAGAUGGAGACAUAGAUAUUUGUAAAGUACAUACAGACCUGAAUGUAGCAGAUCUGUUGACUAAACCUCUCCCUAGAGCAAAACAUGAUCAACACCAGAACUCUAUGGGUGUUCGAUCCAUUACAAUGUAACUAGAUUAUUGACUCUAGUGCAAGUGGGAGACUGUUGGAAAUAUGCCCUAGAGGCAAUAAUAAAAUGAUUAUUAUUAUAUUUCCUUGUUCAUGAUAAUUGUCUAUUGUUCAUGCUAUAAUUAUGUUAUCCGGAAAUCAUAAUACAUGUGUGAAUAUAUAGACCACAACACGUCCCUAGUGAGCCUCUAGUUGACUAGCUCGUUGAUCAACAGAUAGUCAUGGUUUUCUGACUAUGGACAUUGGAUGUCAUUGAUAACGGGAUCAAAUCAUUAGGAGAAUGAUGUGAUGGACAAGACCCAAUCCUAAGCGUAUCACAAGAUCGUGUAGUUCGUUUUGCUAGAGCUUUUCCAAAUGUCAAGUAUCAUUUCCUUAGACCAUGAGAUUGUGCAACUCCCAGAUACCGUAGGAGUGCUUUGGGUGUGCCAAACGUCACAACGUAACUGGGUGACUAUAAAGGUGCACUACGGGUAUCUCCGAAAGUGUUUGUUGGGUUGGCACGAAUCGAGACUGGGAUUUGUCACUCCGUACGACAGAGAGGUAUCUCUGGGCCCACUCGGUAAUGCAUCAUCAUAAUGAGCUCAAUGUGACCAAGUGUCUGGUCAAGGGAUCAUGCAUUACGAUACGAGUAAAGUGACUUGCCAGUAACGAGAUUAAACGAGGUAUUGGGAUACCGACGAUUGAAUCUCGGGCAAGUAACGUACCGAUUGACAAAGGGAAUUGUAUACGGGAAUGAUUGAAUCCUCGACAUCAUGGUUCAUCCGAUGAGAUCAUCGAGGAGCAUGUGGGAGCCAACAUGGGUAUCCAGAUCCCGCUAUUGGUUAUUGACCGGAGAGUCGUCUCGGUCAUGUCUGCAUGUCUCCCGAACCCGUAGGGUCUACACACUUAAGGUUCGGUGAUGCUAGGAUUGUUGAGAUAUUAGUAUGCGGUAACCCGAAAGUUGUUCGGAGUCCCGGAUGAGAUCCCGGACGUCACGAGGAGUUCCGGAAUGGUCCGGAGGUGAAGAUUUGUAUACAGGAAGUCCAGUUUCGGCCAUCGGGAAAGUUUCGGGGGUCACCGGUAUUGUACCGGGACCACCGGAAGGGUCCCGGGGGUCCACCGGGUGGGGCCACCUAUUUGGAGGGCCCCAUGGGCUGAAGUGGGAGGGGAACCAGCCCCUGGUGGGCUGGUGCGCCCCCCCUUGGGCCCCCCUGCGCCUAGGGUUGGAAACCCUAGGGGUGGGGGGCGCCCCACUUGGCUUGGGGGGCAAGCCACCCCCCAUCUAGAUGGGAUCUAGAGGGGCCGGCGCCCCCCUGGACCCUAUAUAAAGAGGGGGGAGGGAGGGCUGCGCACCCAGCCCCUGGCGCCUCCCUCUCCCUCCCGUGACACCUCUCCCUCUCGCUGUGCUUGGCGAAGCCCUGCCGAGAUCGCUGCUGCAUCCACCACCACGCCGUCGUGCUGCUGGAUCCAUCAACCUCUCCUUCCCCCUUGCUGGAUCAAGAAGGAGGAGACGUCUUCCCUGUACGAAGCGGAAAACAUCUUACCCUCGACCAGAGGAGACGCUGCAUUUAUAUUAGGCAGGGGUGCGAGUCCUGGAGAGAUCGCAUACAGUUGAGAUACAGUUGGGAUACGAGAGCGAUUACAACUUGGAGAAUAAGCUAGGUAGAUAUAGAGUUAUAGUUACAGAAGAUAAACAUCUCCUAGCUAAAUAACCAAGGACUCCCGAGGACUCCUGGUGCGGUUCAGCAACCACCUGCACGUCUGAGUUUAACACCCUCCCGCAAUCACAACUUCAUCAAGUUGAGAUUAUGCUUGAAAUCUUCAAAACUUCUUGUAGGCAAAGGCUUUGUAAAUCCAUCUGCAAGUUGAUCUCUGGAAUGCACAAGCAAAGCGAAUGUCAAGUUGCUUCCGAGCAACUCUUUCUCUGACAAAAUGAAAAUCUAUCUCGAUAUGUUUUGUCCUGGCAUGGAACACUGGAUUUGCAGAGAGGUACGUUGCACCAAGAUUGUCACACCACAAACAAGGAGCCUGCUUACUUUGUAUGCCAAGUUCCUUCGGCAUGGACUGAACCCAUAUUAUCUCUGCUGUAGCAUUUGCUAAUGCCUUAUACUCAGCCUCUGUGCUUGACCUGGAUACAGUAGCCUGUUUACGUGCACACCACGAUAUCAAAUUUGGUCCAUAGAAUACUACAAAACCACCAGUGGAGCGUCUGUCAUCAAGGCAGCCAGCCCAGUCAGAGUCAGAAAAUGCACUGACAAGAGUGAAUGGUGAUUUGCUGAAGUUCAGUCCCAAGCUCAAAGUAUGCUUAACAUAUCGAAUGAUACGUUUUGCAGCUGUCAAAUGAACAUUGGUGGGUGCAUGAAGAAACUGGCAUACUUUGUUUACAGCAAAGGAAAUAUCAGGUCUGGUGAGUGUGAGAUACUGAAGAGCUCCUACCAGACUUCUGUAUUUAGUGAUGUCCUCUUGAUUCAAAGCCUCACCCUCUGCAAGAGACAAUUUUUCUGAGCUAGAUAAUGGGGUAAGUGAAGGCUUACAUCCCUGCAAUCCAGCUUUCUUAACCAGAUCAGUUGCAUAUUUUUCUUGUGAGAGGAGAAGUCCAUCCUUGUGUUUCUUCACCUCAAUCCCAAGAAAGUAAUGCAAGUCACCAAGAUCCUUUAGGGCAAAAUCUGCACUCAAAUCCUUAAGAAGUCCCAUGAUUGCUUCAUCAGAUGAGCUAGUCACAAUAAUAUCAUCAACAUAUAUGAGAACAAAUAUGCAUGUGUUGGACUUAUUGUAGAUGAACAAUGAUGUGUCAGACUUGGAAGGAACAAAACCUAGUGCUUGCAUUUUGUGACAGAGACGAGCAUACCAUGCCCUUGGAGCUUGCUUCAAACCAUAUAAUGCUUUAUCAAGUUUGCAUACAUAAGAAGGAGCAUUCUUACUCUUAAACCCAGGAGGUUGUUUCAUAUACACUUCCUCUUCCAGAACGCCAUGGAGGAACGCAUUCUGAACAUCGAGCUGUCUGAGACUCCAUCCUCUAGAGACUGCAAUAGACAGGACAAGACGAAUAGUGGCUGCCUUUACCACCGGACUGAAGGUGUCCUCAUAGUCUAUGCCAUAUUGCUGCUUGAACCCUUUUGCAACUAGUCUAGCCUUGUAACGAUCAAUGGUUCCAUCAGCCUUCCUCUUAAUCCUGAAAACCCACUUGCAAUCAAUCAAAUUUUUACCUUGUUGUGGGGGAACCAAAUGCCAUGUUUUAUUUCUUUUCAAUGCCAUAUAUUCUUCAUGCAUGGCUUUCUUCCACUUCUCAUCAUACAGUGCUGCUUCAAGGGUAUUGGGCUCACCUGGUUCACCUGUGGAGCAAACCAUACAGUAUUUGGUCAUAUGCUUAUAGUUAAUAGGUUGUAUUACCCCUUGUUGCAGCCGUGUACGCCGCUGUUUAGGCACAGCCGGAUCAGGCACAGAAGAUCCAGGAAACUGCUCCUGCACCGCAUCUGAUCACGAGGAAGAUUCUGGCUGAUUUUCUGCGGCUGUGUGUCGAAGGGAGUUGCCUGGAACAGCCACAGAAGAUCCUGCCGAGGCAUCUGCAUGUGCAUGCAACUCAUCAUUGCAUAAUGAUGACGCAACCGUCGUAUCUGCCUGGAUUUCAGCGCCACUCGCGCGCGCCGCGCCACCUGCACCCUGGGCUGCUGUGCCAGUCGAACAGCCAGCCCUGCACCGCACGCCAUCGCGCCGCGUGUACGUGACAGGUUGGCUGGCGUACCUCGUACCGCCGGAUUGGUGCGGAGCGUUGUGCGCCUGCGCCUGUGGGACCCCCGUGGGGCCGGCACAUGGGCCUGAGGAAGAUGCCGCGUGCACCUCGCGCGCGCCUGCUCCAGCCACGACAGUAGGGGGCGAUCCCGAGACGCCUGCCCCUGACGCAGAAUCAGGAGGCGAUCCCGAGGCUGAUUCGGUUUGCUGCAGCCGAACGGAUCCCGAGGGCGGGUUAUCUCCCCUGGUGGAGCACAUGGGAUAUGGCAUUGUUGGACCUCCGUUUUUUCAGUUUCCAUACGGAUUUCUUCUAUUUCAUCAACACAAAACUCAUGCACUUCAUUAGAUGGGUUAGUCAACAACAAAUCAUCUAUAUUCGGUCCCCCUUGAUCAAAACUAGUGAGGUUUGGAGGCAAAAGGAGGAUUUCUUUCCGUAGUAGUGCACCAGCAUUGGGAUGGAGGUCAGCAAACGGAAACUUGGUUUCAUCAAAGACCACGUCACGUGAGAUAUAGACACGGCCAGUGGAGACAUCUAGGCACUUGACCCCCUUGUGCUGAGCACUAUAUCCUAGGAAGACACACUGUUUUGAGCGAAACAUGAGUUUGCGAGUGUUGUAUGGACGUAAGUUGGGCCAACAUGCACACCCAAAGACACGGAGAGACUUAUAAUCUGGUUUAGUGUGAAGAAGCCUUUCUACCGGAGUUUCAUUGUUAAUGACACGACUAGGUAGCAUGUUGAUAAUGUGAACAGCCGUGAGGAAAGCUUCGUCCCAAAACUUGAGAGGCAUGGAGGCACCUGCUAAAAGAGCAAGACCAACCUCGACAAUGUGCUUGUGCUUGCGUUCAGCGGACCCGUUUUCUUGGUGAGCAUGCGGGCAUGACACGUGAUGUGAGAUGCCAAGAUUUUGGAAAAAGGAAUUUAGCUUUUCGUAUUCCCCUCCCCAAUCGGAUUGGACAACGAUAAUUUUGCUAUCAAACUUGCGUUCAACGAGCGCUUGAAAGUUUUUGAAAACUUGAAACACAUCUGAUCUUUUCUUAAGAAGGUAGAUCCAAGAAAAUUUACUGUAGUCAUCAAUGAAACUGACGUAAUAUGUAUGUCUACCAACAGAAGUGGGGGCUGGACCCCAAACAUCAGAAAAAAUAAGUUGCAGAGGUUUGGUAGAAAUGCUAGUAUAGAUGGGAUAUGGCAAUUGAUGACUUUUAGCUCGUUGACAUGAAACACAAAUAGUUUCAGCAUGACGCUCACCAACAAACGGGAGCUUAUUUUUCCUAAGUAACUUUUCAACUAAAGAAAAAGAGGCAUGUCCUAGACGAUCAUGCCAUCGAGUGGACGACAGCUUGAUAGCACCACAAGCUUGCUUAUUGAAUCUUCUAAACUCCGGAAUCAACGGAUAGAGCCUUCGAACACAUCUACCUCGAUAGAGGAUUUUCCUCGUUGCCUGAUCCUUGAUCAAAAAGAAGAAGGGAUGAAAUUCGAGAAAGACAUGAUUAUCAAUGGCAAUUCUAUGUAUGGAAAGAAGAUUUUUGUGUGCACUAGGGACAUGCAAGAUUCUUUUAAAGUGUAGUUUGCGACUAGGGGUACGAAAUAUAGAGUGACCAAUGUGACUUAUACCCAUACCUUCUCUGCUGGCAGUAUGGAUUUGAUCCUUGCCGCGAUAUUUUUCCUUCAUGGUUACCUUCUCAAGCUUGUUCGUGAUGUGAUUUGUAGCCCCGCUGUCGACAUACCAAUUUGUGUCAACACCGUAUGAACCAUCCGCGGCGGCAGCCACCUUGUCAUCGUCUUGAGAAUCAUCAUCAUCAUCAUCAUACCGGUACCAGCAAUCUUUUGCUGUGUGACCGGGCUUCCCGCAGAUCUGGCACCGUGGGGUUUCCGGACGUGUUCUGUUGCUGCCACCGCGCCCGCGCCCGUGGCCGCGGCCGCCCGAGCGCUGAGGAGAGUGGCCGCGGUCGUUCCCGCCGCUGCCACCAGAACGCCCUUUGUAGCGAGAGGAGCCACGUGAGCGAGGUCCACCACCCCGACCGCGAGACGCCAUGUUUGCAGAGGACUUGAAGCCGCCACCGCCGGAGCCAUUGUAUUGAGCCAUGCGCUGGUCGAAGUUCGACAACAUGGCGAAGAGUUCAUCGAGGGGCGCAGGAGUGACGCGGGCGUCGAGGGCCGACACCAGAGGUUGAUAGUCCGCCUCCAAGCCAUGGAUGAUGUAGGAGACAAGCUCAUCGUCCUGGAUGGGCUUGCCCGCCGCGGCCAGCUCGUCGGCAUAGCCACGCAUGGCGGCGAAGUAGGAGGCAACCGAGAGGCUACCCUUCUGCGCGUUGAUGAGGGAGGUGCGGAUGUUGUUAAUGCGGCUCGCCGAUUGUGACGAGAACAUGGCUGCGAGUGUCGUCCAGAGCACGCUCGCCAUGGUGAUUGUGGUCACCGUGACCAGGACCUCUUUUGUGAGGUUAUUUAGCAGGUAGCCAAGGACCUGCUGAUCCUCCCGUACCCAUAUAGGGUGGAGAGGGUUGGGAGAUGAAGUCUCCUUGCCUUCCUUGGUGGUGACGAGGAGCUUGGCCGGCUCCGGGUUGGUGCCGUCGACGUAGCCGAAGACACCGGCGCCGCGCAGUUGAGGUGUGAUCUGCGUGCGCCACAACACGUAGUUCGUGCGAAACAGCUUCUCUGUAACCUGACUAUUGAGACUAGGCGAGAAGGAGCCGGAGGAAGACAUGGCUAGGCUAGAUAGGUUCGGCAGAGACUCUCGAUGGGAAAAGGAAAGCUCUGACUACCAUGUACGAAGCGGAAAACGUCUUACCCUCAACCAGAGGAGACGCUGCGUUUAUAUUAGGCAGGGGUGCGAGUCCUGGAGAGAUCGCAUACAGUUGAGAUAUAGUUGGGAUACGAGAGGGAUUACAACUUGGAGAAUAAGCUAGGUAGAGAUAGAGUUAUAGUUACAGAAGAUAAACAUCUCCUAGCUAAAUAACCAAGGACUCCCGAGGACUCCUGGUGCGGUUCAGCAACCUGCUGCGGUUCAGCAACCACCUGCACGUCUGAGUUUAACAUUCCCAACCGUACGUGUGUUGAACGCGGAGGUGUCGUCCGUUCGGCGCUAGGAUCUCCGGUGACUUGGAUCACGACGAGUACGACUCCCUCAACCCCGUUCUCUUGAACGCUUCCGCGCGCGAUCUACAAGGGUAUGUAGAUGCACUCCUCUCUCUCGUUGCUAGAUAACUCCAUAGAUUGAUCUUGGUGAAGCGUAGAAUUUUUUUAUUUUCUGCAACCUUCCCCAACAGGGAGCAGCGCCCUGAACGAAUAAAUAUGCCUUAGCUCCACUCCCACAUAGCGAUGCUCUUCAUGGCGGCGUCUCGGAGUUGAUGGCAUCGUGUGUUUGCCAAUCCUUCAGAUCAGCGGCGUUAGGGUUCCUAUAUGGUGUCUACAAGGAGGUGGUGGUGAAUCUAUCGGGUGUGUCUCUCCUUCUGCUCUGUACUCAUUGUUGCGGUGUUGUCUCCGACGUCAUGGUGGAGCAGAAGAGGUUUUGUCACCACGCGCAGACGGUUGUCUAUGCGAGUGAUAGCUGGAAGAUGGUGCAUCUUGUGCUAGGUUUGUGGUUGGAGGCUGAUAGUUCUAGAUUCAUCCUUCAACGUCGUCGUCGUGUGGGGAUGUUAGAUCUGAAGUUCGAUGGUGUGUCCGAGGACAUGUUGCUCCGGUCUAAUUCUUUCAACGGCAAUGGUUUUGCUUCCGUCAAAUUACUUUGGAGGUCCGUAAAGUAGCGACGAAGCAACUCGAGCUUGGGGUGAAGAGGUGAUCUGUUUUCUUCCCUUUGGUGGUCGCUUCGGUGGUGUCGAAGGAGAGGGAAAAGCGUUGGUAUUUUGCGUAUGAUUAUCCUACCUUUUUAGUCCUGUAAGGUCGGUGUUUACGUGUCUUGUUACUGGAUCUUUAUUCUAUAAAUAAGACACGUAUUACCAGGUUAAAAAAAUCAAACUUUUGAGAAAAGUGUUAAAAAAUAUAUUUAAAAAUAUUAAUCAAUCAUUUGAAAAAUGUGGAAUAUGUAUAGAAAAAAUGUUGAUCAUGUAUUAAAAAAUAUUAAACUUGCAUUUGAAAAAUAUUAAAUGCAUACACAUAAAAUGUUGACAAUAUAUUCAAAACAUUUUAAACUUGUAUUCCAAAAAUGUUAAAUGUGUAUAUAAAAAUGUUGAUCAUUUAUUUAAAAAUGUUAAACGUGUAUUUGGAAAACUCUAAUAAAAACUUGAAAAAAAUAUGUAUAGAAAAAAAGUUGAACAUGUAUUAAAAAAUGCUGAACUUCUAUUUGAAAAAUGUUAAUCAAGCAUCUGAAAAAUAAAUGUGUAUAAAACAAUGUUGAACAUGUAUUAAAAAUAAUGUUAAUCUAAUAUUUGGGAAAUAUUAAUCUUGUUUCCACAUGUACUAAAACCCUUUAUUAGAUACAUAACAAAAAUGUGUAUCGAAAAACAAUGAAACCCAAUAGAAACAGAGAAAACAAAGAAAAUCAGUGAAAACAAGAAAUAAAUAAACAAAAUUGAAGAAAAAAUAAUGGAAACCCGGAAUGAAAUCAAGAAAAAAAAGAACAAGAACAGAGAAAACCACGUGCAAAAAAAAACAAGCGGAAAACCGGCUCGUUUCACCUCAAGUAGUUCGAGCCUUACUACUUUAUCACGAACCCAACGCGGGUCUGCACAUCAUCCAUCAGAUUAGGGAUCGAUCCUUGUGUGCUCCCAUUUUCUUCUCUAUUUCUUUUAAGUGUGCCUAAUUGAUCGGCCCAUUAUUGUAAACGCUUACGGUGAGAGUUUCUUACGUCCCGCUACAAGCGAGAUAUAGUCCCCACACAAUUUAUUCUGCAUCUGGACCAUUCUUCAAACAGCCAUUAGCACGAGCGCUCCUGGCCCGUCCAACAAACGGCCCAAUUCAGCCCGAUAUGUACAUCUCGGCCUACCCUCUUUUUGAAGUUGGUAUCUCGGCCUACCUUUUUCUAGAGCAUCUUGGUUAUAUAUGCCCUGUGGGGAUAAUGGAUAUGCCAUUCCGUUGCAAAAAGAAAAAAGAAAAACAUGUCGCUCUGGACCGGAUUUUUGUGUGCACCGAGCAGCGACACCUUCUUUUGGUGCACCAUCUAGAAGAUAACUGUUGUACAAAAAAAAAAGGCAGGAGCUUCGAAAUCCUAGGAUACAAUCGUACGAGAAUUGCUGGCUUGUUGCAAGCAUGCUACACCAUCAAAUGGUAUUACCCAAAAUGCUUUACGCAUGCUGCUCAUGCCUUGUCAACUCUCAAGCCUCAACCACAAGCCAGUUGAGCAAGGCCGUGAAAUCCUUGGCAUUUCUGGGCCACCAAGAGAGACAAGCUGCAAAUACUCGCAUACACCAGUGCUGUAAACUUGGAGUUGUAUGGUGAGCUUUAUUGUUCAGGACUUCAGACACGGGCGGAACCCAGAAACCUAGCGCCCCCACCGCGAGAUCCACCCCUCCUCUCCCGCCGCCGCCGGAGGAAGCUGCAGGGCGAAGCCGCUGCAGCCUACGGCGGCGGCGGGGGCCUUGCUCGCGUCGUGGGAUGGCCCUGGUCACGGCCGUGCCUCCCUCGGUGACCGCGGCGGCGGAUUUGGCAAGGGCGCUCGGAUUCGACUCGUCCGGCUCCGGUGGCCUGCCUCAUCGUCGACAUGAAGGUGCUGCUGCUCGAGCGCGGCCCAUGGUCUGCUAGGUGGUGGAGGGGCGCUCGGGGGUGGCGCUGGCGCCCAGAUCCACCUCGUCCUUCUCAGGUGCGUCGGGGGCUGGCCUGCUCCUUUCCUUCGGCGCUGUCUCGAUCCGGCCUGCCUCUGUGCGCCGCUGCAUCUUGCGGCGGCCCUCGGCUUCUCAGGCGAGCGACUGUUCCAGCUCGGGGAGGCGCGACCCUGGUUGUUCCUGUGCUCGGUGGGGCAGACUAAUUUCUGCCCAGAUCCGGUGCGCGCCGAUGUGGUCUCGCAAGAUCCGGGCAGCACACGCCCUGAAGAUGCCGUCAUGGUUUGUUGGUUGCUCACGCUCCGGAUGCAAAAUUCUGGGUCGACUUGGUCGACGCCGGUGGCAACGGCGGCUGUGGCUGUCGUUUUCCUCGCGGAGGGGCCGCCGUGGAGCUGUUUUUCAGCCGCAAACCUCCUGUUUCGUUGUUUUUCGGGUGAAAACCUAUGGUCGGGCUUGCCGGAUCGGGUGGCGGUGGUGUCUCUGGCAUCAUUCCCUUCUUGGAGGCGCCAUCUUGGAGACACGAACUUCGGCUAGUGUUGGUGUGUGUGGAUGAAGGAGGUGCGGCUGGUGGUUUGUUUGUGCGGCCGACUGGGGUCGACGGUGGUGUGUGAUGUGGUGGUGGAGUGGUGGUGGUGCGGCCGGCUUGCGCUGGUGUGCACGGUGAAGCGAUCCGGGUGUAGACUCGGCUCCUUGAUGCCCUUCGGCUUCGCCGGCGGUGCCGUUGUUGUGUUGUAGCCUCGGCUGCGUGUGACUCUUCGUCCGGGUGUGGACUCGGUCGCUCAUUGCCCUUCGGCUGCACCAAUAGCCUUGAGGCACCAUGGAUGGUCUCGGUUGAUUGGAGCUCUUCGUCUACGGUGGUGGUGUUCUCGUGCAGCUCAGGUUGGUAAUGGUUGCUCAAGACCCUCUCAUGGUUGCCAUUGUGUUGCGGCGAGCUUCGUGCUCUUGGUGUUGCCUCAGCUCAUCUUUGCUCGAGGAUGGCGCAAGAUGCCUUUCAAACUUGCUAAUCGUUCCGAUUUCCUGUGGCGGAGCCCCAGUCAAGGUUCGUGUCUGGGAUGACACUCGUUGAUUGUGGAUGCUCCUGAAUUGUGCCGUGGGGGCUGGUAUGCUCGCCGAUGUGUUCGGCUGUUUGCAAAGUCCUGGUAUUGUGAUCUCCCGACGACACCCCACAUCUACUUGCGUUUCUCGUGGUGAUGGUCUUAUGCCUACUAGCUUGGUCAUGCCUUGUACGGUUUUCGGCCCGGUUUUCCUUAUAAACGGGUCAAUUUGUUCAGGUUUUCGAUCCGGUUUUCCUUAUAAACUGGAUCACUCCUCUGGCAUUUUGGCCACUUUGAGUAAUAUAUUCAGGUGGAGGAACUCCUCCCCGGUGAUUCUCAAAAAAAAAGAGCUUUGUUGUUCAUGCUCCUGAUAAACCCCACGGGCUACCGGCUACGGCUACAACCUACAAGUAGAGGUAGUAGCAAUGUCUGGUGAGCUUUAUUGCUUUGCCAAAAACUGGCCCACACCCAUUGGUCAUGUUUGGAUACUCUAACUUUAGUUAGAGGUUAGAGUUAGUUUCUAACUUGUGUCUAACCCUGAACUAAUUCUAACUUUGGUGGUGUUUGGAUGAGAGGGUUAGAUUGACAAUAAAUGCACUUUCUCAAUCAUUUGGCCAUCUUUUCAGCCGGAUUUGUUGUGGUCGGCUCUUGUGUGGCCUCCUUCCGCUCAAAAAUGAAUAAUUCACAUUGCAUGAGAGACGACUAUCUUGUGCAAAAAAAAUCAGCGGACGGAGGAGCGACACACAUGCAAAUAAACAAACACCGAACAAAUAGCUGAAGAGAACUAAAAUGAGACACUUAAGAUACUGAACAAACACUGACCAAAUAACUAAUCACUUAACAUAUAGUUGAAAAGAACUAAAACUGAUACUUAGGAGUACUGAUGACUAAAAACUGAAAAUAAUCUAGCAAAAAACAUUACAAAAACUAAUAUAAGACUGAGAAGGCAAGCUUACAAACUGAGGAACAAGAAUAAUGAACAAUGAAUACUUAGGAAUAAGUACUCAAGAUUUUAUUUUGUCCAUACAAAUGAGACGUCUCACUUAAACGUACAAGUCCUCAAUCAAGCUUAAAAAAAAUUACACUCCAUGAAACAAAGCAUGAGCUAACUCAUCACGGAAGGCAUUCAUGUCGAUAUCUUCAACAAGAGAUUCGUCUUCUGGCCAUGCGGAUGCAGAAGAACUAGGCAUUGGGUUAUAGUUUUCAUCCGCAUCACACGCAUCAAAUUCCCUAUCCGGAAUUCUGCUCUCUCGAAUGAAAUUAUGAAGAACCAUACAAGCAACAAUAAUUCUAGUUUGCUUGUCCUCUGGAAAUUUUGGCAUGUUCAAUAAAAUCCUAAAUUUCAUCUUCAACACUCCAAAGGACCGCUCAAUGACAUUCCUAACUUUGGCAUGUGCAUGGUUGAAGGUUUCUUUCAUACCUUGUGGCGGCGGGCCGUUUUGCCAUUGUUGCACAUGGUACCUUGUACAUCUGUAUGGUGAAAGGUAGCCUGGACGGUUUGGGUACCCCGCAUCAACCACAUAAUACUUCCCUGCAAAUUGUGAAAGACACACAAUGAGACUUGGAUGAACAAGUGUAAUUGGAUAAAAAAAGUUGCAAGACAUUUGAAGUAGCAAACCUGGUGGUGGAUGUGGAAAUUUUUAAUGAUGAGUAGUUCUGGCAUCUUUCAAAACUCUCAUGUCAUGUGCUGAACCAGGCCAUCCCGACAUCACAAAUGUAAAUCUCAUGUCGAAAUCACAAACAGCAAGCACAUUCUGACUGGUUUCAUUGUGCCUGUUCAAGUAUGGAAUCCUCUUACUCUUAUCCACCACAACAUUCACAUGUGUCCCAUCUAUAGCUUCUAUGCAGUCAUUGAAGUGUGGCCAGAAUGCUGGAUUUUCUAAGUUUGGGUGCACCUCUGAAAAUGUUGGGUCCUUGGGUACAAUUAUGUCAUGUGCUAACCUGAGGAGGCAUGUCAAAACUCUGUUAAAUGUCCUACUUACUGUCUCCAUGGACCUCCUAAAACGGUUCUCAGCCUGUCUAACUGACUGUGGUGAUCCAACAAUCCAUAAAAACAUAGCUAGAGCCUCUACAGAUGUCAUUUUUGUAGUGGACUUCAAGCCAUAUGAUUGCACCAAAGUAUUAUGUAGCUUGUUAAACAAAGGUCUCUCAACCCUAAACAUGUUAUAGCAUUGGGUAUCUCGGGCUAGUGUCUCCUGCACCCAAUCCAAACCAGAGUAUCCACUGACCCUCCUAGGUAGUUUCACAAAGUAGUUAUCAGAGUACAUACCCAAGACAGGAACCAACUUCAAGAUUAAAUUCUCGGACUGCACCAAAUUGUUGCGGCACAUAGAUAUGAUCUCAUCCUCACUUGUGCUACCUCCAUCAUAUUCUUCUUCCUCAAUCAUGGGGACAUGAUCUUCUUCCUGUUUCAACACAUGUAUCAAAUUGUCAACACAUAUCAUAAAACUUGAAGGAAUGUAAGCAAAUGAAAUUAAUUCAGCCCGCAGAUAAAACAAAAUAGGUUCAACACAGAUAAUAGUUCAACACCUCACAAACACAUGAUAGGUUCAACAUAUACAACAAUUUAAAUAGAUUCAACAUCUUAACACACACACUUCAAACUACUCCAAAUUGUUGUCCCUGCGUCAUUUCUUGAAGUAACCCAACCUAAGCUCAGGAGUUAACAGGCCACAAAAGAACUCCCUUUGGUACUCUGUUUCGAACAUCUUAGACAUAGCAUAGACAGAGUCAACUGUUUGCUCAACGCCACACUCAAAUGCUAGCUCCUGACACCUCUUCACAGAAUAUGCAACCUUCUCAUUUGCACGUUUCUGCAUUUGCUUAGUGUUGGCUACGACAGACUCCUUAUAGGUAUUGGCUAUGUCCUUGACAAUCUUCACCAUUGGGCUCUUGCUCUUCUUCAAUGGACUGGUCAAAGUGCUUGAAGUGCUUAUUGAUCUCUUGCCCCUCUGGCUCCUCUGGUUGCUUGUACUUGUAGGUGUUCCUUGAAACUCCUCCUCUUCCUCUUCUACCCCUGCAUCUUGCCCUUGAUUCUGACCAUAAUCAUCUCCAGGCACAAAGGCUGUGCUUCCAUCCACGGUGUAACCUCUGAAUAGUCAAUCAAGCAACUCCUCGUUUGCUGGAGGACCCCACUGCAACUUCCUUAGGUAUGGUUUCUUCUGCAGGAUAGUGAAAAAGUAAAACUAGUUAAGAUAUGAGAGAUUCAUCAAGAUUUAUACUGAUGAAAAAGGCACAUGGAUGGACGGUGCAUGCACAUGGAUGGACUAGUAUGUGGUCGUUGAAAGCAUCAGUUUUGUUUUAUCUUCUCUGGCUGUUUGUUUCUUCCUGGUUAAAUUAUUGCUCCAGACUUAAAUUAUUUGACUAGCUCAGAUUCAUCAAGAUUUACUGCUCCAGACUUAAAUUAUUUGACUAGCUCAGAUUCAUCAACAGUCCAUUUUAUUUACAUAAAAGCAUAUAUAGUCGUAACUACGUGCAUAGAAGACCCAUAUACUUUGCCAAUGCAAUGAAAAAUCUUCACAGCAGCAUAGAAGACCCAUAUAAGACCCAUAUACUUUGCCAAUGCAAUGAAAAAUCUUCACAGCAGCAUAGAAGACCCAUAUAAGACCCAUAUACUUUGCCAAUGCAAUGAAAAAUCUUCACAGCAGCAUAGAAGACCCAUAUAAGACCCAUAUACUUUGCCAAUGCAAUGAAAAAUCCUCACAGCAGCGACCCAACAUAUUUAAAGAUAUACUACAUUGAUAUAGGCAGUAAAAGUGUACCUCUGUGUGUGUAAUCCAGAACUCAGAGUCGGCAUCAAUGGUUCCAUCUGGUUUCCUCCCCAUCCGUAGAGCCCAAGCCCCAGGAACCCCUCCGACGCCGGCGCUUGCGAGUUGAGGUCAAGACCGACAUGGGGAGCGGGGCCGCUUGCCGACGGCUGCGAACCCCACACAUCGAAGCCGUCUCCGUCCAUCGCUGGUGCUAUGCUCCAAGCUAUACUACCUGUACCAGAAGAGAAGAAUCAGUAGCACAUCCAGGAAGUGUUACAAGCAAGCCGAACUCAACACCGCACAUGCAGUCGUGCUCUUCUCCGGAAUAAGUAAUCUUGUCCAUGUUAACUUAUGAGAUACAUUUCUAACUUUGAUUAUUUAUAACAGCUAGUGUAACAAAAAUGAAAUUGUACCAAAAUAUUUUGUGUAAGUUCCUGAACAUCUGCAGCUCUUUAUAAGUAUUCAUAGAUCAGCUCUUUAUAAGUAUUGAGUUGUUUCUCAAUAUAGAUCCUGAACAUCUGCAGCUCUUUAUAAGUAUUUAUAGAUCAGCUUUUUAUAAGUAUUUACAUAUCACAGCUCUUUGUUUCUUAAUGCUCAAAUCACAGCUAGUGCAUAUCAAAUUAUUUAUAGAUCAGCUCUUUGUUUCUUCAUGCUCUAAAUUUGCACAAACAUCUGCAACGAGAGGGGGCUGAACAUCUGCAGCUAACUAGCUAACUAAACAGAAGAAUCCAGCCACGCCGUUGCUCACGCUAACUAAUCUAGCUAUGGACUACUCUUGCUGACUUGAUGCACAGACGGACGCGUACGAGGAGGGAGAGCACGAGUACAGAAGGAACGGACGGACUCACCUCUCGCUGGAUCGAUCCUUGACAGAUGCGUCGCCUCCGCGCACGAGAGAGAGAGAGGGAAACGACCGGGAGCGGCGCGAGCUUCGGACGGGGGAGGACGAGCGGCGACCGGAGGAGGACGAGCGGCGACCGGAGGAGGAC